GUUUUUUUUUGUUUUUUGGGGCGUAUUGGCGCCAGUUUCUCCCGCGGUUUCUGUCUAAAGAAGCUCAAAAAUUUCGAAACCAUAAAACCCCCCCACCAUUAACUUAUAGAAUACGACAAUCCCUCUUUCAUACGGAGACAACCCAAGAGAAUUAGGUCUAAUUCAUCGGAAAAACCUCUGAAGUGAUUGAGGGAGAAUGUUUUAUUCGCACACAUUCUUGGCUAGAAAGGGUCCAUUAGGGACAGUAUGGUGUGCUGCACACUUGCAACACAAGUUGAAGAAGCCUCAUUAUACUUCCACUAACAUCCCCUCCACUGUUGAGCGUAUCAUGACUCCUGAAGUACCUAUUGCGUUGCGAACGUCUGGCCACCUUCUACUUGGAGUUGUUCGGAUAUACUCAAAGCAAGUCGAAUACUUUUCUGAGGACUGCAAAACAUUUCUACACGUUGUUCUAAAGGCCUUUUCGGCCACAAAUGUCAAUCUACCAGAAGAUGCCAGUCAUGCACCAUACCACUCCAUCACUUUACCAGAAACAUUUGAACUUGAUGCCUUAGUUUUUGAUGAAGACCUUGACCUGAAUAGGGUUGAGGAUACUCAUGUUAAAAGUUACGAAGAGAUAACUUUGGAAGAUCAAAUUAUGUCGCAUGAAGAUCAGUAUGUUGCUAUUUUCAUUGAUGAGGACACAGUAAAGAGUUUGUCAAAAUCAGGUGAAGUUUCUGGAUUAGGUGCCAUGCCUAUGGAGACAGAUUAUGGAACUGCAGCUCAAUCCCAACAUGCUUCCCCUAAGAAUCAGGAAGGACUAAACAAAGGAACUGUUGGUGAUGACAUUCCUCAAGAUAUUCCAGAAAUUGAAAUCAUGCGUGAUGCUGUCCAUGAUCAUAGUGAGGAUGUACCCUUAUGGUCAGACCGAGGGACUGAUGUGAUGGAACCAGAUAAAAUUCUGGAGGAACAGAUCAUGAGAGAUAGGGAAACUGCAAGCCCUGUUGUGGAAGAGAUGGCCCCUGGAGGACAUUCAAUCCCAUCUCAACAACGACAAGAACUGCCCUCGACUACUUCAGUGGAGGCUCACGAAUUUGCUGAUCCACAGAUAUCAUUUGGGCAUCAGACUCCUGAUUUAGCACUUCUAUCAACACCUCGUCUUGAGGAGCCAAAAGCAAGAAGAAAGCGAAAGCUACUCAUCUAUGAUAAGGACAUAGUAGUGUCAAAUCGUGAGAUGAAAAAGCAACUACAAGGCACCGGUAUAAAAUUACGCGAAAAAAAGAAGGGUCCUUGUUCUUCUUUGGACAUCUGGAAACAAAACAAGAGACUGAGAAAAGAUGGAAUUUUUUUUGAGCCUUUAAUAACUGGAUUAUGCGAUGAUCUCUGCAAUAUCUACAAGGAAGACUUCAUUUCAGAAAAAGUCAAUAUGGCUGCAGAACCCGGCAAUAACCAAUCCCCUCCACCUGGGAAUGAUCUUCCGAUGGAAAUUGAAAGACUACGUGAUAACCAAGACCUUGCACCCACCAAUUUGUUGUCUGAAAUUUUGCCUUCACCAGAUAAGUUCAUUUCCUCUCCACAGACGUCCAUGCCUUCCCCAAGUAGAAGAGAUGACUUCAGUCCAGCUACUACAACUUUUGGGACAGAAUCAGGUCAGAUAGGAAGAACCACGGAGAGUGGGGUGCGGCCCACGCCCGACCCAGCAGCAUCUACUGGGCAUGUUGGUUCUGAUAUGGAGACCCCUUCAACAUGGUUUGGUGGAGAAGGACUAGGUGUGGAGGAUACGGUUCUAUCUGAUAUUCCUGAGUUUGAUAAUUCUGCUGGUGAUCUAAGUUUUCUAGAACAAGAUGACGACACUCCUAUUGCAGGACUUCGAGGAACUCCUUCAUCAAGUAAGCAAGGGGGAACGCCAGAGUUUGACACAUUAUCUGCUAGAACAAGGGCUGUGGCUCAAUAUUUGAAGGGGCAGUCACCAGUAACCCCCAUCUCAGAAGAGACUGGAGAUGUCAGCUUAAAUGCAAUUUUAGAAGGCAAAAAGAGAAGAGUAUGUGCCCGGAUGUUUUUUGAGACUCUGGUGUUGGAGAAUUGUGGACUUGUACAUGCUUAUCAACAUGAACCUUAUGGUGAUAUAACUCUGAAAGUGACCUCUAAACUGAAGGAGAAAUUUUCAAGCUGAGGUCAUUGUGUAGAUCUACAUUUAGAGAAAAUUAUUCAAUGAUAUCUGACGAUCAAGACUCAUAUAGCCUUGCUGUGCCUCUAAAGUAGGUGUGUGCACAUGCGCACACUAUGCAUAUAUCGUUAAAACAUUGUACAGUGAUGCAGCACUCAAUAACUAUAUGAAGAUGUAUACCUUGGCAGCCAUUUUGCCUAAUUUAUUAGGUAUUAACUGGCUUCAUGUUUCCCCACACCCGCCGCUUGAAGGAAAAUAGUAUGUAGCAUUUUGCAGGCCCUCUAUGAAUUCUCUGCCUGCUGAUUUUUUUUUCCUAUCCUUUUAGGUAUAGUUUCUUUUUUUGAACUUAUAUGUUCCAUCAAAUCAUAGAGGGUUUCCUUUGUAUGAUAUGUAAAUUUUAACAUCUGAUGUGAACUUUUUUUAAUAAUUUAUUUUUAAUCAUUAUUUUCAUCAUUGAACAAAA